GGUAACAAGAUCAGCUGCUACUGGUUUUUGCUUCAUUUUUGUGCUCCUAGUAACUCUGUAUUUUGCUCCCUCGCAGGUUUCUAACCUAAUGCUUUGUUUACCUCGCUGAGGCCCAACUACGCUCCAGAUGUUUCUGGGGAGUUAUGAUUAUUGCCUACUGGAAAUUGGAUCUUUGUUUUUGUGGACUUCCUUCCCACCUGUACUUUUCGGACACGGACCAAGCUGGUGCCUUCCCACUUCCUCCUCCUUCAGGACCAAGGCAUAAACGUACCCUGUUCCACCCUCCAACACAAGUAUCCGCACCCAAGCUAUCUCUGCUUUUCACCAGCAGCAACAAUUUAUUGGCGUUUCCCGUCUCCGCUCCUGAUUAUUUUGCUGACAAUAAAAACACCUUUACAUUCUG